rnacentral:snRNA from 13 species
AUGUGUCUUUACAGGUUAAACGAAUUUCCUUAACCAAAUCAUUUAAUACAGGAUCAUACUAUCAAAGAUGUAGCCAUAAGAACGCAGGCCUUGGUAAAGAAGGGGUUAAGUCACCUUGAUAGUGUCCAAAGGUAAGG